CAGCAUUCCCUACAGAAAGAUGGGAGCUUCAGCUGGUUGCAAGAAAGUUUGAAAGACGUGGUCUCAUUUCCUACAAAGAUUUCGUGGCUGCAAUGAAAGCUGUAAGUAUAUAUAUAUAUAUAUAUAGUUGUAUAACCUUUAUUUCCAAGUGUAUAAGAUAUAAACACUAUAAAUAAAGUCUGACAAGAUAUAUUUUACAUACAUCCGCAGUU
rnacentral:lncRNA from 1 species